GACAUAUCACGUUGAAACACCGGUUCGCGUACGAUCAGCAAAGUUAAACAACGUGGAACCUGGUCAGUACUUAGAUGGGUGACCACUUGGAAAUACCAGGUGCUGUAAG